rnacentral:rRNA from 1 species
UACGUAGGGUGCGAGCGUUAAUCGGAAUUACUGGUCGUAAAGCGUGCGCAGGCGGUCUGUUAAGACCGAUGUGAAAUCCCCGGGCUUAACCUGGGAACUGCAUUGGUGACUGGCAGGCUUUGAGUGUGGCAGAGGGAGGUAGAAUUCCACGUGUAGCAGUGAAAUGCGUAGAGAUGUGGAGGAAUACCGAUGGCGAAGGCAGCCUCCUGGGCCAACACUGACGCUCAUGCACGAAAGCGUGGGGAGCAAACAGG